UCUUCAUGAUGUGUUAAUGGA
rnacentral:piRNA from 1 species